GACCUUAUUAUCAGCUCUAACUCAACUUACACAUGCAAGUCUCCGCAACCCAGUGAAUAUGCCCUCAAUCCCCCCACCCGGGGACGAGGAGCGGGCAUCAGGCACAAACAUUAGCCCAAGACGCCUAGCCAAGCCACACCCCCAAGGGAAUUCAGCAGUGAUAAACAUUAAGCCAUAAGUGAAAACUUGACUCAGUUAGUGUUAAGAGGGCCGGUAAAACUCGUGCCAGCCACCGCGGUUAGACGAGAGGCCCUAGUUGAUAUUACAACGGCGUAAAGGGUGGUUAAGGAUAAACAAAAAUAAAGUCAAAUGGCCCCUUGGCCGUCAUACGCUUCUAGGAGUCCGAAGCCCUAAUACGAAAGUAACUUUAAUAAACCCACCUGACCCCACGAAAGCUGAGAAACAAACUGGGAUUAGAUACCCCACUAUGCUCAGCCGUAAACUCAGACAUCCAGCUACAAUUAGAUGUCCGCCAGGGUACUACGAGCAUUAGCUUAAAACCCAAAGGACCUGACGGUGUCUCAGACCCCCCUAGAGGAGCCUGUUCUAGAACCGAUAACCCCCGUUCAACCUCACCACUUCUAGCCACCCCAGCCUAUAUACCGCCGUCGUCAGCUUACCCUGUGAAGGUAAUAAAAGUAAGCAAAAUGGGCACAACCCAAAACGUCAGGUCGAGGUGUAGCGCAUGAAGUGGGAAGAAAUGGGCUACAUUUUCUAAUAUAGAAUAUUACGAACAUGCACCAUGAAACAAUGCUUGAAGGAGGAUUUAGUAGUAAAAGGGAAAUAGAGUGUCCCUUUGAACCCGGCUCUGAGACGCGUACACACCGCCCGUCACUCUCCCCUGUCAAAACGCACCAAAAAUACAUAAUACAACAGCACUGACAAGGGGAGGCAAGUCGUAACACGGUAAGUGUACCGGAAGGUGCACUUGGAUCAAAC
rnacentral:ncRNA from 1 species